AUCACAAUAGAUGUUUCCUUUGCAGUAAAAAUGAUUUAUAGCAGCUCUCAUGGAAAUGAUGGUCCAGAGGGGGCAUGUUAGUGCAGGAGGAUAAUAGUACCCCUGUGCACAGCUCCUUUCCAUUCAGUGGGGAGUGUGGUGCAACACAGCCUUGACUGCCUCACAAACCGUGCUCCCUCGGAUGACUGAGCCUCCUGGCCUUCACAAAGUCCAUUCUCCCUCAGAUAAACGGCGCUAUAAAUAAAACAGUACAAAGCCAGUCACCUCUCUGUUUAAAGAGACGUGCCACCUUCCCACACGGGAUCGUUUGUUUGAUCUAAUCUCCCUAGUUUGGUCUGGGGCCGCUGGUCUGCUGUUGGGCUGGCCGGCCUGACUGAUUGUUGGAGUCUGCUGCUGCUAUGUUUGUUGGGAGACAGAGCCCAGGCUGUGGGUGGUAUUUGCCAUUUGAGGAUUUUCAGCACUGUAAACCAGAUGGCCACCAACCUCGUGUUGAUCUUGGAGCACAAUCUUGCCAAGGCCACUUCCCCCACGGUGGAAUAAGAAGAAUCGAGAUGUUAAACAUGCUCCCUUCCCCGAGCUCCUGGCUUCACUAUACCACAGAGGGAUUAUGUUUGUAUCUGGCCAGGCAGCAGGAGUUGGUCUAGGCUGUAAUAGAGCCCAAAGGGAAUGGCGACUGGCACAGAAAAGAACAAAAUGACACAACCAGAAACCCAAGGGGGUCAUCUAUUUUCUUUGUCCUAUUUCUACUACCGUGACUAGUUCUCUUGCAUUUCGUUUUUCAUUACAGCAUUAAAUCCUUUCAUUUCAUAUGGUUUAAAGCUGGAAGUUCAAAAAUAAUUUCAGAGUUACCAUGCAACCUGAGUCCAUCAACAGCUUUGUGUCUUACUCAGAUGUUUUUUUUUAACUAAAUGCCAAGCAGCUCACCCUAUCAAACUCUCUCUGGCUCAAGACCCAAAAGAGAAAUCUGGUUUCUCCCAGGGACCAAAUUUACAAAAAUACAUCUACAUUUACGGAUAAAGGGCAAAAACAAACCAUGUAUAUAAAAUGUAUAAAUUUUCUCAUCAAAGUAAACAACAAUGGACUAUU